CCUACGGGUGGCAGCAGUGAGGAAUAUUGGUCAAUGGGCGCGAGCCUGACCCAGCCAAGUCGCGUGAGGGAAGACGGUCCUAUGGUUUGUAAACCUCUUUUGUCGGGGAGCAAAAGACGCCACGCGUGGAGUUCCGAGCGUACCCGAAGAAAAAGCAUCGGCUAACUCCGUGCCAGUAGCCGCGGUAAUACGUGGGAUGCGCGCGUUAUCCGGAUUUAUUGGGGUUAAUGGGUGCGCAGGCGGAAGAGAAAGGCCGCGGUAAAAUUGAGGGGCUCAACCUCUUUGAGCCGUUGAAACUGGUGGUCUUGAGUGAGCGAGAGGUAUGCGGAAUGCGUGGUGUAGCGGUGAAAUGCGUAGAUAUCACGCAGAACACCGGUGGCGAAGGCAGCAUACCGGCGCGCAACUGACGCUGAGGCACGAAAGUGUGGGGAGCGAACAGGAUUAGAUACCCGAGUAGUC
rnacentral:rRNA from 1 species